rnacentral:rRNA from 1 species
GACGAACGCUGGCGGCGUGCUUAACACAUGCAAGUCGAACGGAAAGGCCCUGCUUUUGUGGGGUGCUCGAGUGGCGAACGGGUGAGUAACACGUGAGUAACCUGCCCUUGACUUUGGGAUAACUUCAGGAAACUGGGGCUAAUACCGGAUAGGAGCUCCUGCUGCAUGGUGGGGGUUGGAAAGUUUCGGCGGUUGGGGAUGGACUCGCGGCUUAUCAGCUUGUUGGUGGGGUAGUGGCUUACCAAGGCUUUGACGGGUAGCCGGCCUGAGAGGGUGACCGGCCACAUUGGGACUGAGAUACGGCCCAGACUCCUACGUGAGGCAGCAGUGGGGAAUAUUGCACAAUGGGCGGAAGCCUGAUGCAGCAACGCCGCGUGCGGGAUGACGGCCUUCGGGUUGUAAACCGCUUUCGCCUGUGACGAAGCGUGAUUGACGGUAAUGGGUAAAGAAGCACCGGCUAACUACGUG